rnacentral:rRNA from 1 species
CCUACGGGGGGCAGCAGUGAGGAAUAUUGGUCAAUGGGCGAGAGCCUGAACCAGCCAAGUCGCGUGAAGGAUGAAGGAUCUAUGGUUUGUAAACUUCUUUUAUAGGGGAAUAAAGUGAGGAACGUGUUCCUUUUUGUAUGUACCAUAUGAAUAAGCAUCGGCUAACUCCGUGCCAGCAGCCGCGGUAAUACGGAGGAUGCGAGCGUUAUCCGGAUUUAUUGGGUUUACAGGGGGCGUAGGUGGUUAAUUAAGGCAGCGGUGCAAGUUUGUGGCUCAACCCUAAAAUUGCCGUUGAAACUGGUUGCCUUGCGUAUAUUUGAGGUAGGCGUCAUGCGUGGUGUAGCUGU